rnacentral:misc_RNA from 1 species
CUCGGUGCAGGGAUAGCAGACACAGCAACAUGAAGACCCAACUUAGUACUCCUUGUACAACUUCCGUAUGUAUAGCUUUUCUGUUUGGAACAAUUGUCAAACUAAUUUCCAGCCAAGAAUGUCAAACCGUUAAUGCAGUACACGGAUAUCGUCUUGUUAACCAUGUCCUGAACACAGUUCAUGAUGUUACGUUUGAACGUUGUACAGUUCUCUGUACUGAACAUCCUGCCUGCUACAGUAUCAACCACUUUACUACAACCAGUACCUGCGAACUGAACAACAAAACAAAACUUUGGUUUCUAAGUGAUUUCAUUUCGAGUGACAGCGUCUUUUACAUGGAUAUGUUGGUACGGCAGUACGACAUUUGUGUCCACGACAAUCCUUGCCGUAACGAUGCCAAGUGUAUUCCGUACCCCAACAACGGAACCUUUCAUUGUCAAUGCAGCAAAUAUUACACUGGAAAAACUUGUGAGGAUCUUCGAAAAGGAGGAAACGUCAGUUGCUCCAAUCAGGUUCUAGACCUCUGUCAUUCGAAUAUGACCGCGUGGCAGGCUACAAUCCUAGGCCCUACUAGCCUCAAUCUCUCGGGUUGUAACCCCGAUGAUAUUACGAACACAGCAGAACUUCUUUUGUUCGUUAGUCGAGCAAGAACUGAUAGCCUGGGUGAUUAUGGUAAAUACCAAAUCGUCAAGGUCAAAGAGAACACAGGAUGCACCGUAACGCUGCUAGCACCGAUCAACAUCACACUCUCCGGUUCUCCAUGUGAACUAAUCGCUCAACGACUGCCAUAUUUUGACCACAUCUCUCUGACCCAGUCCUGUCAAGUGACUUGUCGUGCUCGGUCUGGAGAAGUGGGUGGUAUCCUAGCUCUGAGAGCAACCAAGUUAACAAUAGACAGCACAUCCAAGAUACAAGUCAAUGGGAAAGGUUUCCAUGGCGGUGCCGGAGGAAGCAGUUCUGGUGGCGGUGGAUUCGGAGGGGAAACAUUCGUAUGCUUAUCAUCCACGUACGGUAAAGGUGGAGAUGCUGGUCAAACAGGAGACCAUGGAGGAGGUUCAGGGGAAGAUUCUGGGUUUUAGAUUCAAGCCUAUGCAGGAGGUGGCGGAUCUUCUUACUGCCCUGGUCGAAAUGGAGGAAUUGGUGGUUCCACUGGAGGAAAUGCAGGAAAUUCUUUGAGGGGAGGAAUAGGAGGCAAUUCUCCAAGCGCAGACUAUGGUGGUGGAGGAGGUGGAGGUGGAUUUCAGUAUGGUAACGUGGAUUUCAACACUCAUCUUAGCUACGGUGGG